AUUGAACGCUGGCGGCAGGCCUAACACAUGCAAGUCGAACGAGUGGCGGACGGGUGAGUAAUGUCUGGGAAACUGCCCGAUAGAGGGGGAUAACUACUGGCAACGGUAGCUAAUACCGCAUCCCAUCGGAUGUACCCAUAUGGGAUUAGCUAGUUGGUGGGGUAAAGGCCUACCCAGGCGACGAUCCGUAACUGGUCUGAGAGGAUGAUGAGUCACACGGGAACUGAGACACGGUCCAGACUCCUACGGGAGGCAGCAGUGGGGAAUAUUGGACAAUGGGCGAAAGCCGGAUGCAGCCAUGCCGCGUGUGUGAAGAAGGUCUUCGGAUUGUAAAGCACGUUAAGUGGGGAGGCGUUACCAACAGAAUAAGCACCGGCUAACUUCGUGCCAGCAGCCGCGGUAAUAC
rnacentral:rRNA from 1 species